rnacentral:rRNA from 1 species
GACGUAGGGGGCAAGCGUUGUCCGGAAUCAUUGGGCGUAAAGAGCGUGUAGGCGGCCCGAUAAGUCCGCUGUGAAAGUCCAGGGCUCAACCCUGGAAUGCCGGUGGAUACUGUCGGGCUCGAAUCCGGAAGAGGUGAGUGGAAUUCCUGGUGUAGCGGUGAAAUGCGCAGAUAUCAGGAGGAACACCAAUGGCGAAGGCAGCUCACUGGGCCGUAACUGACGCUGAGGAGCGAAAGCAUGGGGAGCGAACAGG